AUUAGUCUUUUAAUUGGAGGCUUGGAUGAAGGGUUGGACGAGAAAUUAGCUGUCUUUGUUGGGGGAAUGGAAUUUAACUUUUAAGUGAGAGGGCUUAAAUGAGCUAAAGGGACGAUAAGACCCUAUAAAGUUUGACACUAACUCCAAUAGAGGGGCUAAGUGAGUUAAGUAAAGUUAAUUAGUGGGAAGGUGUUUUGUUGGGGCGACAAAGAUAUAAGAAAUUUAACUGUCUUUAGGUUAAGCCAGAGAUAUUUGUAGAAGGAGAUCCUUGUUAAAGGUGCUAGAAUAAAUUACUUUAGGGAUAACAGCGUGAUUUUCUUUGAGAGUUCCUAUCGACGAGAGAGUUUGCGACCUCGAUGUUGAAUUAAAGAGUCUUUACGGCGUAGCGGCUGUGGAAGAGGGUCUGUUCGACCUUUAAAUCUUUACAUGAUUUGAGUUCAGACCGGUGUGAG
rnacentral:rRNA from 1 species